rnacentral:rRNA from 1 species
AAGCGGCACGCGAGCUGGGUUCAGAACGWCGUGAGACAGUUCGGUCCCUAUCCGUCGCGGGCGUUGGAAAUUUGAGAGGAGCUGUCCUUAGUACGAGAGGACCGGGAUGGACUUACCGCUGGUGUACCAGUUGUUCUGCCAAGGGCAUUGCUGGGUAGCUAUGUAGGGAAGGGAUAAACGCUGAAAGCAUCUAAGUGUGAAGCCCACCUCAAGAUGAGAUUUCCCAUUUCUUUAAGAAAGUAAGAUUCCUGAGAGAUGAUCAGGUAGAUAGGUCAGGAGUGGAAGUACAGUGAUGUAUGGAGCGGACUGAUACUAAUCGAUCGAGGACUUAACCAAU